GAAGCAAAAUCUAGACAGUUUUGGGAUAGGUAUGCAUGAUUUUUUUCAUAUUAGCAAACUGUUUGACUUACAAUGAGUAGGUGCCAGGGAACAGUAUUGGUUAUGGUACUUGAAGUGUUCCUUUUUAUUGUGUUGGUGCCUGAAGUGUACUUUUCAUAGCAUAUUACAAGUGAGCAGAAAAAUCAACCAUGAUGUAAACCAUAAGGAUUGUUAAAG